rnacentral:lncRNA from 1 species
AACAACAGCCCGUCAGCAAUCUCAAAAAUAUCCAAGCUUCUCUCAGAUUGCUGAGACAGAGAGCUAUUCCGCUCCAUCAGACGUUCCAACCGAGCUUCAGCCGUCCGACCUGAACUCUCUGGCAAGUCGCGACAAUGGACAUCACUCCACUCUCUGUAACAAACUCCAUGUGGCCCCACCACUCUCUGGCAAGUCAUGAUAAUGGACACCACUCCACUCUCCAUAACAAACUCCACGUGGCCCCGAACGGCCCACUGACACCACUACUCUCCAUAACAAAUUCUACGUGGCCCCAAACGGCCCACUACCAGGC